rnacentral:rRNA from 1 species
AAUGAACGCUGGCGGUAUGCCUAACACAUGCAAGUCGAACGACAGCACAGGAAUGACUGUCUCUUACGGGUGGCGAGUGGCGGACGGUUUGGGAAUACGUCGGAAUCUACUUUUGCGUGGGGGUUAAAGUAGGGGAACUUACGGUAAUACCACAUACUACCUGCCGGUGAAAGCAGGGGAGCUGCGGACCUUGCUCGAUUGAGUGAGGCGAUGUCGGAUUCGCGAGUUGGCGGGGGAAAGGCCCACCAAUGCGACGAUCCGUAGCUGGUAUGAGAGGAUGAUCCGACAGACUGGAAGUGAGAAACGGUCGAGACUCUUACGGGAGGCAGCAGUGGGGACUAUUGGACAAUGGGGGAAAGCGUGAUACAGCAAUACCGGGUGGGUGCAGAAGGACUUAGGGUUGUAAAGUCCUUUUGUUGGGAAAGAAAAGAAGCAGGUUAAUACGCCGAUGUUAUGACGGUACCGAAAGAAUAAGCACCGGCUAACUUCGUG